AUUGAACGCUGGCGGCAGGCCUAACACAUGCAAGUCGAACGGUAGCACAGAGGAGCUUGCUCCUUGGGUGACGAGUGGCGGACGGGUGGGUAAUGUCUGGGAAACUGCCCGAUGGAGGGGGAUAACUACUGGAAACGGUAGCUAAUACCGCAUAACGUCGCAAGACCAAGAGGGGGACCUUCGGGCCUCUUGCCAUCGGAUGUGCCCAGAUGGGAUUAGCUAGUAGGUGGGGUAACGGCUCACCUAGGCGACGAUCCCUAGCUGGUCUGAGAGGAUGACCAGCCACACUGGAACUGAGACACGGUCCAGACUCCUACGGGAGGCAGCAGUGGGGAAUAUUGCACAAUGGGCGCAAGCCUGAUGCAGCCACGCCGCGUGUAUGAAGAAGGCCUUCGGGUUGUAAAGUACUUUCAGCGAGGAGGAAGGUGUUGUGGUUAAUAACCACAGCAAUUGACGUUACUCGCAGAAGAAGCACCGGCUAACUCCGUGCCAGCCGCCGCAGUAA
rnacentral:rRNA from 1 species